rnacentral:tRNA from 1 species
GCCUUCGUAGUGUAAUGGUCAGCACACUCGGCGCAUAUUCGAGAGGUCCGUAGUUCGAAUCUCGGCAAGGGCA